CUACUGGGUGCUGCAGUGGGGAAUAUUGGACAAUGGGCGCGAGCCUGAUCCAGCAAUGCCGCGUGAGUGAAGACGGCCUUAGGGUUGUAAAACUCUUUCGCUAGGGAAGAUAAUGACUGUACCUAGUAAAGAAGUCCCGGCUAACUCCGUGCCAGCAGCCGCGGUAAUACGGAGGGGACUAGCGUUGUUCGGAAUUACUGGGCGUAAAGAGUUCGUAGGCGGACUGACAAGUUAGAGGUGAAAUCCCAGGGCUCAACCCUGGAACUGCCUUUAAAACUGUCAGUCUAGAGACCGGAAGAGGUUAGGGGAAUACCUAGUGUAGAGGUGAAAUUCGUAGAUAUUAGGUGGAACACCAGUGGCGAAGGCGCCUAACUGGUCCGGUACUGACGCUGAGGAACGAAAGCGUGGGGAGCAAACAGGAUUAGAUACCCCGGUAGUC
rnacentral:rRNA from 1 species